UGGCCGCCGGGUCGGUGAUCAUGCUGAGCUUCGGCUUCAGCGGGCUGGCCUCGUGGGGGCUGUUCCUGGCGACCCCGGCCGCCC
rnacentral:tRNA from 1 species